rnacentral:rRNA from 1 species
CACGUAGGGGGCGAGCGUUGUCCGGAUUCAUUGGGCGUAAAGGGCGCGCAGGCGGCCCGGAAAGUCGGAUGUGAAAACUCGAGGCUCAACCUCGAGCGUGCACCCGAUACUGCCGGGCUUGAGGCAGGUAGGGGAGAUCGGAAUUCCUGGUGUAGCGGUGAAAUGCGCAGAUAUCAGGAGGAACGCCGGUGGCGAAGGCGGAUCUCUGGGCCUGUCCUGACGCUGAGGCGCGAAAGCUAGGGUAGCAAACGGG